UACGUAGGGUCCGAGCGUUGUCCGGAAUUAUUGGGCGUAAAGGGCUCGUAGGCGGUUUGUCACGUCGGGAGUGAAAACUCAGGGCUCAACCCUGAGCGUGCUUCCGAUACGGGCAGACUAGAGGUAUGCAGGGGAGAACGGAAUUCCUGGUGUAGCGAUGGAAUGCGCAGAUAUCAGGAGGAACACCGGUGGCGAAGGCGGUUCUCUGGGCAUUACCUGACGCUGAGAGACGAAAGCUAGGGGAGCGAAUGGG
rnacentral:rRNA from 1 species